UACGAAGGGGGCUAGCGUUGCUCGAAAUCACUGGGCGUAAAGGGUGCGUAGGCGGGUCUUUAAGUCAGGGGUGAAAUCCUGGAGCUCAACUCCAGAACUGCCUUUGAUACUGAAGAUCUUGAGUUCGGGAGAGGUGAGUGGAACUGCGAGUGUAGAGGUGAAAUUCGUAGAUAUUCGCAAGAACACCAGUGGCGAAGGCGGCUCACUGGCCCGAUACUGACGCUGAGGCACGAAAGCGUGGGGAGCAGACAGG
rnacentral:rRNA from 1 species